AACGAACGCUGGCGGCGUGCCUAACACAUGCAAGUCGUACGAGAAACACGUCCUUCGGGGCGUGGAGUAAAGUGGCGCACGGGUGAGUAACACGUGGGUAACCUGCCCUUGGAACCGGGAUAACUGGCCGAAAGGCCCGCUAAUACCGGAUAAGACCACAUUGGCUACGGCCUAAGUGGCCAAGUCGGCCUCGCGAAGAAGCCGGCGCCCAAGGAUGGGCGCGCGGACCAUUAGCUAGUUGGUGAGGUAACGGCUCACCAAGGCCGAGAUGGUUAGCUGGUCUGAGAGGAUGAUCAGCCACACUGGAACUGAGAUACGGUCCAGACUCCUACGGGAGGCAGCAGUGAGGAAUAUUGCGCAAUGGAGGCAACUCUGACGCAGCAACGCCGCGUGGGUGAAGAAGGCUUUCGGGUUGUAAAGCCCUGUCAGGUGGGAAGAAACCUUCCUGAGUUAAUAGCUCAGGAAACUGACGGUACCACCAAAGGAAGCACCGGCUAACUCCGUGCCAGCCGCCGCCGUAAAAC
rnacentral:rRNA from 1 species